UAACUUCUGCUAGGCCAAGUCAGUGAUCUACAGAGGGAUGAGGAGGUAGAGAAAUGCAGGACCUGAAACUAUAAUUACCUCCGUGGACAGGAAAACAUGGAAUAUCAGUGCCAAACACGUGUGGACACCAUCCCAUCAAGUGCAGGAGAAUUCAAUUGAAAGGAGAAAAAUCAGAUGCUCCUUGCUGAAGUAUAACCUAACUCCUGGAGAAGUUCCAUUCAGCCUUCUGUGUGUCCUGU
rnacentral:lncRNA from 1 species